CUUUUGUACAAGCAUUAGUAAUUGUGUGUUUACAUUUUAAUAUUAUGAUUAAUUACUUGCAAGUUUGUGUGUUUGUUGUUGUAAUACAUUUGACUGAUUUUGUUUAUGGCCAAGAGAAAUAUUAUGAUCAAAAAUACGAUAAUUUCGACGUAGAUUAUUUUGCACAGAAUCCGAGGUUGUUGCGAAGGUAUAUGGAAUGUUUUUUGGAUAAAGGACCAUGCACUCCGGUUGGAAGAGUUUUUAAACUGGUGUUACCAGAACUAAUUACUACAUCAUGUACUAAGUGCUCGCCAUCACAGAAAAAUCUUGCUCGUAAAACAUUUGAUGCUUUCAAGAAAUUCUUGCCGAAGGAGCUCGAAGAAUUAAAGAAAAAACUUGACCCUACAAAUAAAUUCUAUGACGCAUUUGAAAAGGCUAUAUCUGAUUCCUAAGAGUUUCGACUAAGUUUCUAUAUACAUACACAUACACUUUGAAUGUAAUGACAGGAACAUUUUAACAAUGAGGGCCUUCAUAAUUUUGUGUUGUCUGGUGGUAGCAGUAUUUGCCGCUGAUAAAUAUAAUUCCAAAU